UACGUAGGGUGCGAGCGUUGUCCGGAAUUACUGGGCGUAAAGAGCUCGUAGGUGGUUUGUCGCGUUGUUCGUGAAAUUCCCUGGCUUAACUGGGGGCGUGCGGGCGAUACGGGCAGACUGGAGUACUGCAGGGGAGACUGGAAUUCCUGGUGUAGCGGUGGAAUGCGCAGAUAUCAGGAGGAACACCGAUGGCGAAGGCAGGUCUCUGGGCAUUAACUGACGCUGAGGAGCGAAAGCAUGGGGAGCGAACAGG
rnacentral:rRNA from 1 species